AUGUCUUGUUGUCAUGGACCUUUCUUUGAUUGAUCUGUUGCAAGAUUUGUCCUAUGACAUAGCCAGAAUGUCCCGAAGGGUGAAGCACCGGUGGAUGUAUUCUUAGAUAAUGUGUAAAAAUAUAAGAUGCACAUUUCACUGGUUCUUUGCAUGAGCGCCUAUCCUGUCUCUGCUCGUACAGAAAUGAUGCCAAUCCUAGGGUAUGUAGAUUUCAACAAGGCUUUAAGUAGAGCAAUACCGUCUGGAUGAAACACUACUAACAUUUUAGUUUAGUUUAUUAGGAUCCACUUACCGGGAGAAGAUAUUAUUGUUAUUGUUAGUUGUUACCCAUUUCUAUCUUAUCAUGCAAGUGACUUGUAUAUAUUCGUUCAUGUUGAAUAAGAACAAGGCGUCUGCAGAGAAGCAGGUCUCAAUUUGUAUUCUGAUCUAAUGGUUGAUUACACUGAUGCAGUGUUAGGAACAGUGGUGAAGGUGAGCUGUCGAAGCUCGAAACCUUUUUUGACAUGUAAUCAUUGUCCUCAAGUUAGAUCACACAAAACUUACGUGUUGUCUUAUAACUGAAGUAUAUCCUUUGUUAAUUCCACACUUGUGCAAUCUUUCUCAUUUUGUGCUACAAAGACUCCCACUUAAGCUUAAUCGAGAAAUCAGUGCUAUUUUUGCAAAUAACUUUACAUGUUGAGGUGCUUCCUUUUGUGUCCUUCGCUAGCGUGUGCAUGUAUAUUAGUGGUGGACAACCACAAAGACUAAAUGCUAACAGGGUUCUGUUUAUUACUCUGAUCUUGUGAUUUUAAAAUGUUUAUGCGUAAGCCAAACUUUCAAAAUUCAAGGUAUUCAUGCUACUUUUAUUCUUUUCAUCAUGCCUGAGUCUUUACAUCUCAUAGUCAAAGCAUAAAGAUUUCGUUGGAGCUGUACAUGACAAGGUUGACAAGAUUGUGCUGCUAUGUAAAAUGGACACAUAGCAUGAGCCGAGGCACUCAAACAAUACAAGUGCGCACAGGACCGCCUUAAGAGGCGCCACCAGGUGGCGCCCCAGCCACUAGUUACAUUACAAAGGCUGCUGCAUGCGUAUGCCAGCAGGCGUCGCCUCCCCCUCCCCUCGCGUCGCCUCCCCUUGGGCGGCGCCAGGGGCCCCGAAACCCUAGCGCCGCCAGCACGCCUCCUCCUGCCGCCGCUGUCGCCGGCGUGGGCCGUGGUGGCGGCAGGCCCGGUGCCGAAGGCAUCUGGGCGGGCGGAUGCAGCGGAUCCCAUCUGAGGCGGCAGGGGCGGCUCCUCUCGUGCGAUCCAACGACAGCGGUUGGGACGGCGACUCCAGGCUAUGCGGCGGGGGCUGGAGCACCAAAGCCGGCGGAGCGGCGGCCCUGAUUGGACGGCGGCGAUGGCAGCGCCCUAGCCGGCAGGGUGGGCUGUUCUGGUCGUGAUGGUGACGGCGGUCACUGCGGAUCCAACGCCCCGUUUGGAUCCGUCGCGGGGAGGCCUUCCGCCGACCGGCGGCGCGUGGAGGGACCGGUGAGGAGAUGCCGGAUCUUUGCCGGAGUACCGACGGCGACAUACGUCUUCGUGGCGAGGUUCCGCCCGGUUCCAGCCAGCCGCGAGGUCGGGAAGACGUGGCUUCCGGUGAAAAUCGCGCCUGACUGCGGUCUUGGCGGACGAUGGCGGCGUCUCAGACGUCGUUCCCUUCUGGAGGCAUCGUCGUUGCAGGUCACAUCAACCUGAUCGGGAAGUUCCGGGGGAAACCCUAGAUCUGGGUCUACCGGAUCGGACGAUGACGGUGCCUUCGGUAUCGUUCUCCCUCUUGGGGGCAUUGUUUUGGAGCAAGUGCUGGUUGGAGGGGACAAGAGGAGGAGCGGUGAUUCAUCUGGUCCAUUGAUGACAGCGGAUCUCGGCGGCGUGGCGUAGUGGAGACUUGGCGCCUGAUGAGCGGAGAUGGACUCGCGCGGGAGGGUGACGUUGCCUGGCGUCAUGGUGGCGUCGGCGGCAGCUAGACCGUGCAAGGUUGAUGCAGCAGUACAGCUCUGAAGAUGGAUUGGUGGCAGGUGGCUGCGACGGCCUCAUACCCGGCAAGUGUCCUGGUUGAGGAGCACGCCGAACCGAUGGGUGCCCAUACCCUGCAGGCGUCCUGGUUGGGAGCUCAAGUCUUAGAUGUUAGGUUUGGCUGCGAGGUCUGUUUGGUAUUAGGCUCAGACUUUCAGCACCCCUUCAUCAACUGGAUAGGGAUAGCGACAGGUGUUGCUUAGUUGGUGGCUUUAGUCUUAUUGUUGUAUGACUUUGUAUGACUUUGUUUCUUUGUAACGGGGUUCAGUAGCUUCCGUCUCCUGAAUUAUUCUUGUUGUAAUUUCAUGGUUAUUCAGUUAUCAAUCUUCUCUUACUCAUUUCACGUGUCCAUAGUUAGCCAGGAAACUGAAGGUGGGUCAUGUAUUUAGCACGGGUUCGAUGUGGCGGUUGUUAACUUAUUCCAACGGUGAAGAAUGGUAGUUGUUGCCGGAUGAAUUUCUAGUCUCGCACCUUCUUAUUUCUGGACUUGCACGAUGGACAGCCUGAAUGGCGCUGACGCGUGCUUCUCCUGAGGAGGGCCAUGUGACGGCCAGACCGGCAGACAUAGCCAGGAUAUGCGGUACAAGGGAUUCGAGGCAGAUUGAGGAAGGAGAUGGAGCAGGUGGUGGAUUAAGGAAGGAGCUGGAGUAGAGACGAAUUAGAGCUGCUUAAGUGCAGGCCCAUGGAGAUAAGCGCUAAUGUGCACCCAAGGUUCAGGGAGGUGAUCCAGGUUUCCAAGAAGGUUAGAAGGUUAGUUGCUUGUGCAAUUCAGUUCAAAUGUAGCUUGUUGCUGGAAGGAGUAGAGUUUGAUUAGAUCGGAUCAACAUUAUUUGGUAUUUUGGUAGUGGUUAAGUAUGGGAUAUGCACCUGCCAUUUUUCUAUGCAUGUUUUUCUAUCCAUGUAUGCUGCAUCCUUUGACUUAUGUAUGAUGUGAUGUCAUUGGUCACUCAUGUGAAGUUGCGUUGUUUGAUUCAAGUGCAAUUAGACCGUGGCAGCCAUGGAGAAUAUAUGCAUGAAGCCGUGAGCAGUGAGCAGCUUACCUAUUUAUUAUUGUUGGCCUUUUCAGUUGGAUUUAGUAUAGCUGCCUCUCAAUUGAUGAACAAAGACUAACAUUAUCUCUUUAUUAUUGCAUCUUAUACCCCCAGAUUGAGAAAAACAAACCUUAUCAUUUCCAUUUGUAGAAUUAAUAUCAUAUUUGAGGGAUCAGUUGGCACUGAUGCCUAAAAUGUGUUCUUUUUUCGCAUGCUUAAUUGUACACAGCUAGAUAGAGAUGCAUAAGUAUUUAAGUUGAUGCACAAGCCAAUUUAUAGUAGGAUUAUGAGGACAAUCAACUGAGCUCCAACAACUUAAUCUGCUAUUUUCUUUCUUAACCAUCAGAACGAAUAGUUAUGUUUGUUGAGUUUAUGUAAACAAUCAUACUUGAGACCUUCUAAAGCAAAGCAAUCUGUAGAACUUGUAUUGAAAGCAAGAACGAGGCUUAUCAUUCAGGUUACUUGUUGUGACAUGUGACAUAAAAGCAAUUUGUAGAACUUCUGUUUGCCUGAUCCCUAUGCCUUUUCUAUAUAUAGUGUUCCAUCUAGGUUAACUCUUGUGAUGGAACCUUUCAACGCUGGUUUAGUCUGGUCGAUCUUAUCAAUGUAUGAGCGAAAGUCUGCAUUCCAGAUCAAUGUAGAUGUCAAGCUGGAAUAAAAACAUUCAAGAGCUUCUCAGUACGGAUAUUAUUCUACUGAUUUCAUUACUUCCCCAUGGUUUUAGCCUGUCACAAAUGGAGAAUCAUCAUCCAGCUACAUCUCCCUUAGAAUCAGGGAAAAGUUCCCCAUUUAAAGACCAAACAUGCAUAAUCUAUUUAGAGUUUCAGUUUGUUUUUUGUCUGACAUCUCUGUUGCCUCUGUUAUAUUACUACAUUGCUAUUAAAACAAGGAAGAAUGGCCUGAUGUUGCCUUUGAAUCUGAUUGUCGGGUACUGGUGGAGAUGUGGAACUCAAGAAAACAUAAUAGAUGGAGAUUAUCGGUUUCCUGUCAGAAAUUGAGUUGAGCCAAGCCUUUUGUUCUUCUAUUUUGUCUUUUCUUCUUAGAGAGGUUAAUUUUUAGCACACCUGUGUACAAUCCUGCCCCUGCUGGGUGAGCUUCCCCAUCUUCUGAUGGUACGGCGUCCUUCGAGCUAGGACGAGGGGCAGGGGUCCUCUUCGGAGAUGGUUUCAGGUAGUUUGUUGCAGCUCACCACUCCUGGUGCAGAUGAGGGCAUGCUUCCUGCCUAUGAUGGGUCUCAUCUUGUUAGUGCUUCCGCUCCACCUAUGGUGCUCAUUCUGCGGCUGGGGACUUCAUCGACAUCAAGCGAAGCUUUGUUGUCCAUUAUUUUGUAGUGCUUGGUGUUGUUGAGGUUUAUAAGUUGUCUAGUAGCACCAUGUAUCUGCCGUCUUUUUCUUUUUUCCUCUUGUAAGGUGCUGUCCGAUGUAACUCCUGGCCGGUUGAUGGCUUUGUUAAUUCAAAGCCGGGCUCUCUCUCGAGCCUU